UACGUAGGGUGCGAGCGUUAAUCGGAAUUACUGGGCGUAAAGCGUGCGCAGGCGGCUUUGCAAGACAGAUGUGAAAUCCCCGGGCUCAACCUGGGAACUGCAUUUGUGACUGCAAGGCUAGAGUACGGCAGAGGGGGAUGGAAUUCCGCGUGUAGCAGUGAAAUGCGUAGAUAUGCGGAGGAACACCAACGGCGAAGGCAAUCCCCUGGGCCUGUACUGACGCUCAUGCACGAAAGCGUGGGGAGCAAACAGG
rnacentral:rRNA from 1 species